GACGAACGCUGGCGGCGUGCCUAACACAUGCAAGUCGAGCGGGAACCUCAGGAGGGGUAACCCUUCUGAGGGGAGAGCGGCGAACGGGUGAGUAACACGUGGGCAACCUGCCCCGGACACCGGGAUAACCCAGGGAAACCUGAGCUAAUACCGGAUACUCCGGCGCGAUCGCAUGGUCGUGCCGGGAAAGCUCCGACGGUCCGGGAUGGGCCCGCGGCCUAUCAGCUUGUUGGUGGGGUAACGGCCCACCAAGGCGACGACGGGUAGCUGGUCUGAGAGGACGGCCAGCCACACUGGGACUGAGACACGGCCCAGACUCCUACGGGAGGCAGCAGUGGGGGAUCUUGCGCUAAUGCGCGAAAGCGUGACGCAGCGACGCCGCGU
rnacentral:rRNA from 1 species